UUUAUCAACUAAUGAUUUUAUCAUUUUCAGAUUGUGAAAGUCAUCUUAAAAAUCAAAAUGAACAAAAUCAUCCUCUGCAUUGUCCUCCCCUGUAUCUUGGCCAUGGUAGUCUCAGCGGCCUACUACCCCGGAGCCCAGUAUGGACAGUAUGGAUACGGACAAAGAAACGUUGCACAGUACGCCAGUUACGCAGCAAACAGCCAACAAGCCCUUAAACAGGCCAGACUUUUCAACUACUUGUUAGGAGGACUCUUCUUCUUGAACCUAUUCAACUUCACUGGAAACAACAUUGCCGGUUAAAAAGCAUUCAGUUUUCUGUGUAAAACAGUCAAUUUUGAUCAAGUCCGAAGAUUUCUAAUAUUGAAUGGUGCUGCUACAACUCACCGAGACGAACAACUAAAUAUUCUGACAAUUGUACCAAGUGUUCAUUUGUAUUUCAAUAAAACAUAUAAUUUGUCAA